ACAUGUCGAUGCGCCUACGUUCAACGAACACGGAAAGAUAUGGCGAUAUCGAGCUUUAGGCGUACUAGCAACACUUCGCCGCGCGACAGUUUUCUCACUCUCGCUCGCAUCCAUCAAAAACUCCAUUUCUUCUUCUUCUAAUAACGAAAAUGUCCUGCAGUCGUGUCGUCAAUUGCACGCACAUCCACGGAUAAACACACACAUAACAUAAACGGAUGUCCUUUCCGUAAACGACAAACCGUCGCUACUGCGCUCAUAGCCUAAGGAUGCACAUUUUGUUUCGGUUUUGCAUGUAAAUACACAGACCCGUGCUAAACUGUGGAUCGAUACUCACCACUUUCUCAGGCCGCUCUGCCGGCCUGUUAUUUCCAUCUCGCUUUUGACAUUGAAUUCACAUCAUGUGCCGUGAGGAACAAAAGAAGAUAAGACCGGUAUCACCGUGCUGGCACAACGUAGGAAACGUGAGUUCCAAAUGUAGUUGAACGCAACGAGCUCCGAGGAUCAGCACAAGAAAUAGAUAGAUGCAACAAUUGUACGUGAUGCUACGUGUUUGCAAAUUGUUGGUCAUAGUCGCAAGAAGAAAUUGAAAUCGGUAUUUUAAAACUAAUAAUUUAUGCAUUUGAAGAUGUUGGGCUUGUAUACUAGCAUUCAAAUUUCUAAUCUUGUAAGAAGAAAGGUGACGCAAGGAUUCUCCGCAACACUUCAAAUUUCCAAAUUGUCGGUCAUAGUUGCAAGAAGAAAUUGAAAUUGAAAGGAAACGCAAGGCGAGAACACGUAUUUGAAUGCAAUGAACUUCAAGGUGGUCUGGGCAACCUAGAAAUAGGAAAAAGGAACGAGACCCAAGACUUCAAAUAAUGUUAGAGUACUGGUGUGGAAGGGAUCUACAAUUCCAGAAAUUUGUUAAUCCUUUCUUUAACACUCUAUCGUAUUAUUUUCAUUGCAGAUAACCGAUAUGAUAAGGAAUUUUUAUCUUCGUCCGUGUUAUACCUAGAGUGUCUUGUAUUAUGCGCUUAGUAAUAAAAGAAUAGUGCAAUUUCUUUGUAGAGUCAUAAUAAAAAGUUAAAUAAACAAAGCCAGUUCCCAAAAAAUGA